rnacentral:lncRNA from 1 species
CUACUACGGGAUUGCUUGCAAUUUGGGGACUCUGUCCAAUCGGAGGCGGCGCCCAAUCAGGACCGGGCAGGGCUCGGCGCGCGCCCAAUCUGAGCGGGCGGGGGAGAGGGAGGCGUUCCUCGGGCGGCCGGAGCCUCACCAGUCACUCGGACACGGCGGAGGAGCAGGAGCAGGGCGGGGCGGUGGGAGUCGCCGGCCGCUCGGUUCUUCUCCUUCUUCCCGGAGAGACGCGUCAGCGCAGCGCCCGCCGAGGUGAAGAGCGAGGAAAGGUCUGAUUCCAAAGAAAGGUUUUUAUCUGACGCCUGAAAGUUGGGAAGGGGGCCAUUCUGAUGUCUUUUAGAAGAGAGUUCCAGAGCCACGGAGCAACCACCGAGAAGGCCCUCCCUCUCGUUUCCACCAACUGUAUUUGCGGCCGUGUUGGGACCGAGAGAAGGGCCUCUCCUGCUGAUCUCACAGCUCGUGCAGGUGCUGGCAAAAGAGGCUGGAAAGUAAAGCUUUGCUGCAGGAGUAAGUAAGUACAGGUCUUGAAGAGGCCUAAUACUCAAGGUCUUUGCAACUAUAGUUAAAACUUAUUCAGUCAUCUGCCUCUCCCCACCCACUACAGAAAAAUUUUAAGUAAUUUGCAUAUCUGUUUGGUUACGCUGUGUAACACGAUUUUUGUUCCUUGGUUACAAAUGUAAUUUACUAAUUGAUUCCAUCAUAAAAACAUGGGAAAUGUUUUGGUGGUAUAAUUCUUACUCUAAUUAGUAUAGAGAUGUUAUUUACAUGGAUUGUAAGUAAUCUUUAGUCUGUAGUUGUGGAAGUGCUUUCAUAUACUUAUUGAUCAGAUAUAUUAAGCUGUCGGUUCAUAUCUCUCCUUUGUGGGUAUUAGAAGGACUUUUGGUAAACAAAGGAUAUGAAGAAAUGCAUUAGCUGUGUACAUUGUAACUAUGUCCAAGAUUGGUGGUCACUGAUGGUUUUAUAUAGCCAGACAGGAUACAGUAAAAAUGUAUUUCAGCAAGGCUUUUUUCCCUCUCCAGUGAACAAAUGCAGUGCAACUUAUCCCUUUCUUUGGGCAUUAUGGAAAAUAUACUGAAAGUGUAAAUACUUUGCACAUGGACUUGAAGAUUUGCACAGAAAAAUUAAAUAAAAUAUUGUCUUGUCAUGCCUCUCAGGCUAUGAAUUGGAUGGGCAGUAUACCCAGAAAAGGAAGGAAAAGGAAGAAAGAGCAUUUGUUGAUAUGACUUAAAACUAUAAGAAAUAUACUAGUAAAACCCACUUUGUGUUUUUCUGGUCGUUGUAUGUUAAGUGUUGUAAUGUAAUUUACUCCCAAGCAGUCUUACCUGAAGGCUAUCAAAAGGCUCCUAGUCAGUGGUUUUGACAUUACAGUUUUAUUUUUUAUAUUCUUAUUAGCUACUAUGAGGGGUUUUGGAGUUAUAUUUGGCAAGGAUCUAAAACCUAAAAUAAACAUCUAUAUAUAUAAAAUGAUAAAGUUGUUUGCGCAGUGACUAUAACAACAAAACUAAACAUCCCAGAAAUACGAAAUUUGGCAACACAAUGCAAAAGGCUUGCCUCCAGGUUACAACAACACAACCACACCACAAAACCACACAAGACCCACAAAACUCACAACAACGCAUCAUGCGAUAACAACACAACUAAACGCCCCAGAAAUACAAAACUUGGCAACACAAUGCAAAAGCCUUCCCUCCAGGUUGUAACAACACAACCACACCACAAAACCACACAGGACCCACAAAACUCACAACAACGCAUCGUGGCUAUAACAACACAACUAAACACCCCAGAAAUAUAAAACUUGACAACACAAUGCAAAAGCCUUGCCUCCCGGUUGUAACAACACAACCACACCACAAAACCACAAUCCGGAC